AGUAUGGACUCUGUUGGAAUGUAAUGUGUCAAUUUGGUUUCAUGCCUCAUCACACUGGCAGACAGAAGAGGGUAAUGGCUGCUUUGGGGAGUGGAGGAAGCCAAAAAGAAGGCAAAGAGUGAAGACAGAGAAACAAGAUGUCAGUGGUGGUGCUGAGAAGGAAUAGAGAGACUUUUCUUUGUGUUAAGGGCCGCAGAGGGAGGAAUCCAGCUGAGGACUACACAGGGGCAUCUGGCUUCAGGAAUAACAGAUCAAAUGGUGACGAACUCCUUCAAAAUGGUCCCCAAGGCUUCACUGUGGAUGAAAGGAAGAAGUCAAUGCCUUUGCUCAAAGAGAAAAAAUGUUUUUCUGUUUGAUGGUUGAUGAGCAUUCCUGCCUUGAGAAAAAGAAGGCUAAUUGUGUAUGCUGGCAAAGCAUGUGUAUGCUCAUGACUGCUAGGAAUCAAGAGCCAUGAAUACGAACUUCCCAUUGCUCCCUGUUGCAUGCCAGAAGAUGUUUCACUUUGGAAUGCUCCUCCAUCUGACCCUGGGACUGGCUUUACUAAAAUGAGUGUUGGAAUGUCUACCCCCAUAAGAAAGCAUCCAGACUCACCACUUACUGGACAUAUUCUGCAGAAUUGAGGCUUUCUAGGCCUGCCCAGCUUGGUCAAUUUUUCCAUCAAGCCAGAGACAUGUGCUCAAUUUGGAAAGAAUCAGGUAAAUUACCAGGGAGGGUUUCUCACACCACAAAUACAUAUGUCCCUCAUUGCUAUGCUGUCUUGAGAAAGCAGAAGAUCAACACAUCUCUUUGAAAUUAGAAUGUUCAAGGAAAGAGAUUAAUGCCCUUGCAAGCUAAUCCAACUCAGGAAGUUAAUUCUUUCCCAUGCAAUCUAGCUAAUCCCGCUUCCAUUUAGAACUUACUCUCAAGGUCCAAUGUUUGGAGUUCUACGUAUGUAGAAAAGUCAUAUACUUAAACUUCUGGUGCUCAAGGAUUUUUGUCUCUUAAAGCUCUUCUGGCCCCCAAUUUUUUAACUAGUUGACAAGUAAGAUUGCUGCACAUUUCGAACAACUCACUUAUCCUUAGUCCCAAGAACAGGGAGCAGACCACAUGGGAGACCAUGUGUCUGGCACACUUACAUUAGUUGUUGUGAUGGUUAUUAGCCUGGCCUGCCAUUUGUCUCUGAUAGCCAGCUCCCUAAUUUAAAAUUCAAGAGCUGGCCAGAUUUCCAAGGACUUUCCUGGGGCCUAGGGCAGGGGAAACAAAAUCCCUAUUUUCCAAAUAGCUUCAUUUGACUACACAUUGGGUGAGUAAGAACAAAGGCCAUCAUGGAGGCUCCUCAGUUUUGCCAUGAUCAGAUAAGAAAGGGUGAAUAACUAAAUCUAAGUGACUGAGGGCUUGUCCGCCAAUAAAAUGU